rnacentral:rRNA from 1 species
UACGAAGGGGGCUAGCGUUGCUCGGAAUCACUGGGCGUAAAGCGCACGUAGGCGGAUUGCUAAGUCAGGGGUGAAAUCCUGGAGCUCAACUCCAGAACUGCCCUUGAUACUGGCGGUCUCGAGUCCGGGAGAGGUGAGUGGAACUGCGAGUGUAGAGGUGAAAUUCGUAGAUAUUCGCAAGAACACCAGUGGCGAAGGCGGACUCACUGGCCCGGUAC